rnacentral:rRNA from 1 species
CCUACGGGGGGCAGCAGUGAGGAAUAUUGGUCAAUGGGCGCGAGCCUGAACCAGCCAAGUAGCGUGAAGGAUGACUGCCCUACGGGUUGUAAACUUCUUUUAUAAAGGAAUAAAGUGCGGCACGUGUGCCUUUUUGUAUGUACUUUAUGAAUACGGAUCGGCUAACUCCGUGCCAGCAGCCGCGGUAAUCCGGAGGGUCCGAGCGUUAUCCGGAUUUAUUGGGUUUAAAGGGAGCGUAGAUGGGUUGUUAAGUCAGUUGUGAAAGUUUGCGGCUCAACCGUAAAAGUGCAAUUGAUACUGGCAGGCUGGAGUACAGUUGAGGUAGGCGGAAUUCGUGGUGUAGCGGUGAAAUGCUUAGAUAUCACGAAGAACACCGAUUGCGAAGGCAGCCUACUAAACUGCAACUGACAUUGAUGCUCGAAAGUGUGGGUAUCAAACAGGAUUAGAUACCCGAGUAGUC